rnacentral:sRNA from 1 species
UAUUCUGCCCCAUGGGGAAGGAUGAGAAGCUUCGACUAAGGUUCGACUCGAGCGAAGCGAGAGAACGUUGCCGCAGGCAAGGCCCGAAGGGCGAGGCGCUUUAGCGCCGAGUAAUCCUUCCCCCACCACCA